AAGAUUUUUCUUCGUCCUCUAGUACAUAGUGGCCGUCCCAUUGGAAUUCUUUUCCCUUCAAUUUUAAAUUUCGGCUAUGACAAAACGAAAGGCCAAUCCUCAUCCUUCUUAUUUCCACAUCCUUCCUUCAACAGGGGACAAUCAUUAAUUUCAAAUUCUCAUAAAGAGGUGAGGGAACCCAACUCUCCAUUCCCAAAAUCGUUAACUGUUGAAGAUUUGUGAGGGAAGAAAGCCA
rnacentral:misc_RNA from 1 species